UAAUUACUCUCGGUUGCGUAGAAUCACUAGACACCUUCCGUUUGUCGUAGCGGAACUCCCCCAGCCUUUUCUUGUGCACUCCUGAGAUGCAGCGACAAUUGUGUCAGCUCUCCACAAAUGCAAUGAACUGCCAUUUGCAGAUUUGUGCGUCGGCCGGUGCCGUCACUCUUGUUCUCCAGACGGUACGUUUCAUUGUCCAACAUCCGCUGCAAGCAUGGAUCGUUUCUGUACCACAGAUCCUGGAGAUACUGUUCUUUGGUUGCCUACUGUGUUUGUCUGCAGCUGGUAAGUGGAACACGUGCGCGUUACGUCCGUCCCAGCUGCUUGUUGAUGGCUAUGUGCACGCGUGGGACUGAAUUGUGCGUCAAGCCUGCAACUGCAAGGGAAGAGACGGAGACCACAAACUCCAUAAAGCGGUUGGGCCUGUCUGGCGUCUGCUUACAGCUGGAUAGAGCUGACGGCAACUUGCUGCAAGUGACCAAUGUAGAGACACCGUAAAACGUUUUCGCUGGCAGGAGGCCAGGGCUAUUUUCGAAAAGCCCAUGAAUUCGAGGUACUUCAUUAGGGGAUUUCGUUCUCAUUUUCAGGUACAGAAACACAAGAGUUGAGUGGCCAAUCACUUUUUGAGACGUAAUGUUUCUUGCACAUCCAUCACGGUAUCUCUUUAGGUCGUCCGUUCUCUGCAUGGAGGCCUGGUGCGACUCGUCUUCUCGUCUUCUAUGUAGCUGUUCGUGGAAGUCCCAGGUAGGAAUCCGACACAGUCUACUCUUUCGGGUGUGCGGCCGCAAUAUAGAUUGCGUAUAUGUGAUAUGCCUAGCAAUAUCUUGUUUUGGAAUCAAUGCACUUUUCUCGGUGGUGGCACGUCAGUUGAUUGAAAGGGCAGAUGCCAUGUUUUGAAUGAAUCUGUCAUUCGAUACUACAUACCUUGCUGACUGCACGUUCCUCGUGCACUUACGCUUUCUGUAACGAUGCAGCUGGGUUUCUAACAGGAAUUGUUUUGAUUUUGCCUUGAGCUCUAUCAUCGCAGACAUGUUGGCGACACCAUUCUUGGCAGCACAUGACCUAGAUUGCCCGCAAUGGUGCAACAACGCCCACAAGCACAUCCUGAGAGAGGUUGGUCUUCAUGCAAAUGACCAUGAAGACAACUCUCUUUUCUCCGAUGUCAACUGGCUCAGAUUUUUAUGAAAGCGAAAGUAAGACAAGACGAGCGCGCCCUUUUUGUGUUUCGCCGCACACAUCACACUACGGAAAGGCUACACGUGGUGGAGCCUACCCGAUGACGUGCUUCCGGCUCGUGCCAGAGAGACACCGUGUCCCCCCGGGAAGGUACGUCUACCUUGUCUUGAGC
rnacentral:lncRNA from 1 species